AGCAGCCGCGGUAAUUCCAGCUCCAAUAGCGUAUAUUAAAGUUGUUGCAGUUAAAAAGCUCGUAGUUGAAUUUCGAGGCCGGCUUACUGGUCGUGCUUUUGUACGUACUGGUAUAAUCGGUUUCUCCUUUCUGACGAACUAUAAUGCCAUUAAUUUGGUGUUAUAGGGAAUCAGGACUGUUACUUUGAAAAAAGUUAGAGUGUUUAAAGCAGGCUCACGCUUGAAUACAUUAGCAUGGAAUAACGGAAUAGGACGUUUGAUUCUAUUUUGUUGGUUUCUAGGAUCGACGUAAUGAUUAAUAGGGAUAGUUGGGGGCAUUAGUAUUCAAUUGUCAGAGGUGAAAUUCUUGGAUUUAUUGAAGACUAACUACUGCGGAAGCAUUUGCCAAGGAUGUUUCAUUAAUCAAGAACGAAAGUUAGGGGAUCGAAGACGAUCAGAUACCGUCGUAGUCUUAACCAUAAACUAUG
rnacentral:rRNA from 1 species